UAAAAUGGAAAGAUUUAUGCGUGGAGAGUGUAAUGUGCGUGGUGAUGGACCACUCGGCCGCUAUGUUAGUAGAAGUGUGGAGGGAGGCAUGGCUACUCCAGGCACACCAUCCACAUUACCUAGAGCACCCCCACUCUACCAACGUACAACAAGUACUGAGAGUGGCAAGGGAUCAUCGUGUUCGGACAAAGACCCUAAAGACUGACGGGGCGACCCUGCAUUGGUUAAACAUAGAAGGUUAUUAACCACAAGUAGCCCACGAUCUGCUUCACCUAUGAGGUGGGGUGGUCGAGCAGCCAGCCCAGUGCCACGUCUCCCAGCAAGGGGAGCUACUGGACGGGUAUUUGAGCAGUUUCACCUUCACUACCACGGCCACAUCGCCGCACACUUCCUCCUUCACGCUCAUUGAGUCUUGAUACAGGCUUGGAUACUAACAAUGCUACUGCAUCUGAUCCUGAAACUGCCACUGAGGUGGUAUCUUCAUGUGAACAGUACUUGCAGCAGCAGAAUCAGCAACAAUCUGAACACCAAGUGCAGGAACAGCAGUUACAAAAUACAGAACCUCCUCGGCGUAGGUUGAGUAGUAUACCUUGUGAAAGCAGUCCAAUUGCUGAAGAAGACUGUGCAACUGAGGAAGAUUUCGGUCAACCAUUUGUUGAGGAAGAUGUUAGAGGCAGCAGGGACUUGACUCUUCCAUUAGAUUCUUCUCGCUCCUCCAUCACAUCUUCAAGGCGUUCCUCUGUUACUUCUACUGAUGAUAUCAGUCGAAAAUCCUCAUUUGUUAAUAAGUGUAUGACGAGAGUUAGAGGCUUCAUCAAGAAAUGAGUGUUCUUGAACAUAUUGCCUUCAGAUUGUGGUGCUUGUGGUAAAGUGUUGCGGUCAAUGUUGGCCAUCUUCACACUGCGAUAGGACGCAUAUAUAACCAGUGCAGGGAGUUGAGAGCCUCUGUGCCAGGUGUUGGGACCAUUAGGGCCUGAGACCUUAGGUAAGGUCACCCACUUGGCUCAGGUUAAGUUCAGGUCAUUUACCAUUUUGUGAUCCCAACCACUAUGCCAAAAAUCAGUAAACACUUUGACUAUAAUGACAUGGAGGUUAGUGACAGAAACAAAAUGCUGUACUACCUACAAAAUUAAUACUGCCAUACAUUUUAAACUAAUUUAUGAUCAAUUCAGUAAAACAAAUUACUAAAUAAUACAAUGUAAAGCAUUUAAU